rnacentral:rRNA from 1 species
UGAGGAAUUAUGCGCAAUGGACGAAAGUCUGACGCUGCGACGUCGCGUGGGUGAUGAAGGUCUUCGGAUCGUAAAACCCUGUCGAGAGGGAAGAAAGAGCGGGCGCUAAUAUCGCCUACUUCUGACGGUACCUCUGGAGGAAGCCCCGGCUAACUCUGUGCCAGCAGCCGCGGUAAUACAGAGGGGGCAAGCGUUGCUCGGAAUUACUGGGCGUAAAGCGCGCGUAGGCGGUCGUAUAAGUCGGAUGUGAAAGCCCUUGGCUCAACCGGGGAACUGCGUCUGAUACUGGAUGGCUUGAGGUUGGGAGAGGGAUGCGGAAUUCCAGGUGUAGCGGUGAAAUGCGUAGAUAUCUGGAGGAACACCGGUGGCGAAGGCGACAUCCUGGACCAAUUCUGACGCUGAGGAGCGAAAGCCAGGGGAGCAAACGGGAUUAGAUACCCCCGUAGUCCCUGAGCGGGCUGGCAAGGCGCAU